GACGUAGGGCGCGAGCGUUGUCCGGAAUUAUUGGGCGUAAAGGGCGCGUAGGCGGUGCGGUAAGUCUGAUGUGAAAUCUCCGGGCUCAACUCGGAGUCUGCAUCAGAAACUGCCGUGCUUGAGUGUGGGAGAGGUGAGUGGAAUUCCCGGUGUAGCGGUGAAAUGCGCAGAUAUCAGGAGGAACACCAAUGGCGAAAGCAGGUACCUGGACCAUUACUGACACUCAGCUGCGAAAGCUAGGGGAGCAAACAGG
rnacentral:rRNA from 1 species